rnacentral:rRNA from 1 species
CAAAAACAUGUCUAAUAGAUUAUAUAAUUUUUAGUCAAAUCUGCUCAAUGAAUUUUAAAUAGCUGCAGUAUAAAUAACUGUACUAAGGUAGCAUAAUAAAUAGUUUCUUAAUUAGAAACUUGUAUGAAAGAUUUAAUGAAAAAUUAACUUUAUUUAUUAAAAAAAUUUAAUUUUUAUUUAAAUAAAAAUAUUUAAAUAAAAUAAAUAAACAAAAAGACCCUAAAAACUUUAUAAAUUUUAUAAAUACAUUUAUUUAAUUGGGGAAAUUAAAAAAAUUAAAAAAUUUUUUUAUUAUAAACAAUAAUAUUUGAAAAAAAUAAUUUUAAUAAAAUAAAUAAAAAAGUUACUUUAGGGAUAACAGUAUAAUUUUUUUUUUUAGAUCAAAUAAAUAAAAAAGUUUAUGACCUC